rnacentral:tRNA from 1 species
AUGACUGUAGCUCAACUGGCGAGAACCGGAGAGCAAUCUAGAGAUCGCGGGUUCGAAUCCCGCCGGCCGUU